rnacentral:rRNA from 1 species
AGAGUUUGAUCCUGGCUCAGGAUGAACGCUGGCGGCAUGCCUAAUACAUGCAAGUCGAACGAAGUUUCGAGGAAGCUUGCUUCCAAAGAGACUUAGUGGCGAACGGGUGAGUAACACGUAGGUAACCUGCCCAUGUGUCCGGGAUAACUGCUGGAAACGGUAGCUAAAACCGGAUAGGUAUACAGAGCGCAUGCUCAGUAUAUUAAAGCGCCCUUCAAGGCGUGAACAUGGAUGGACCUGCGGCGCAUUAGCUAGUUGGUGAGGUAACGGCCCACCAAGGCGAUGAUGCGUAGCCGGCCUGAGAGGGUAAACGGCCACAUUGGGACUGAGACACGGCCCAAACUCCUACGGGAGGCAGCAGUAGGGAAUUUUCGUCAAUGGGGGAAACCCUGAACGAGCAAUGCCGCGUGAGUGAAGAAGGUCUUCGGAUCGUAAAGCUCUGUUGUAAGUGAAGAACGGCUCAUAGAGGAAAUGCUAUGGGAGUGACGGUAGCUUACCAGAAAGCCACGGCUAACUACGUGCCAGCAGCCGCGGUAAUACGUAGGUGGCAAGCGUUAUCCGGAAUCAUUGGGCGUAAAGGGUGCGUAGGUGGCGUACUAAGUCUGUAGUAAAAGGCAAUGGCUCAACCAUUGUAAGCUAUGGAAACUGGUAUGCUGGAGUGCAGAAGAGGGCGAUGGAAUUCCAUGUGUAGCGGUAAAAUGCGUAGAUAUAUGGAGGAACACCAGUGGCGAAGGCGGUCGCCUGGUCUGUAACUGACACUGAGGCACGAAAGCGUGGGGAGCAAAUAGGAUUAGAUACCCUAGUAGUCCACGCCGUAAACGAUGAGAACUAAGUGUUGGAGGAAUUCAGUGCUGCAGUUAACGCAAUAAGUUCUCCGCCUGGGGAGUAUGCACGCAAGUGUGAAACUCAAAGGAAUUGACGGGGGCCCGCACAAGCGGUGGAGUAUGUGGUUUAA